rnacentral:rRNA from 1 species
CCUACGGGGGGCUGCAGUGAGGAAUAUUGGUCAAUGGGCGUAAGCCUUAACCAGCCAAGUCGCGUGAGGGUUGAAGGUUCUAUGGAUCGUAAACCUCUUUUAUAAGGGAAUAAAGUGCGGGACGUGUCCCGUUUUGUAUGUACCUUAUGAAUAAGGAUCGGCUAACUCCGUGCCAGCAGCCGCGGUAAUACGGAGGAUCCGAGCGUUAUCAGGAUUUAUUGGGUUUAAAGGGUGCGUAGGCGGCCUUUUAAGUCAGCGGGGAAAGUCUGUGGCUCAAUCAUAGAAUUGCCGUUGAAACUGGGAGGCUUGAGUAUGUUUGAGGCAGGCGGAAUGCGUGGUGUAGCGGUGAAAUGCUUAGAUAUCACGCAGAACCCCGAUUGCGAAGGCAGCCUGCCAAGCCAUGACUGACGCUGAUGCACGAAAGCGUGGGGAUCAAACAGGAUUAGAUACCCUUGUAGUC